AAGCCAGUAAGUAAAAUCCUCUGUAUUUCUCUACUUACAAUUUUAUGUACAUUCUCAUUUAGGCCUUACAACCAUUCCUUGAAUUGGUGUUUUGCCCUCACUUUAAGAUGACAAAGCAGACUCAGAAAAGUUGUGAUUUGUCCAGGUCCAGUUGUCACCAGGGGAGCUGUGUUGGGAACCUGAGCCCUCUACCCAGAUUCCCAUGCUUUCUCCACUCUGUCCUGCCUCCCCUGUCUGACAGAUGUGCAGGGAAGAGGAAGAAGGAUUCUUCCUUAGGUAAGCAACUCUGUCAGUGUUUCUCAAGGGAGUGCUACUGACAUUUGGGGGGAGGGGGAUGAUUUUCUGUACAGAAAUGUCCUGGGCUUUGCAGGCCCUACCCACAAAAUGUUGGUAGUGUCCUCCAUUCGAUGCGGCAAUGAGUGAAACGUCCCUAUACAUGUAAGGUCCCCUUUUGGGAAGGGGUGGCACCUCCCCAUGGAGAAGAGCUGGGGAUUGAUAAAUCCUCAUUUCCAUACUAAUCAAUUAAUUGUAAGACUGGUAUGGAUAGAACAGCCCCUACUAAUGUUAAAAUGGCAUCAGGAAACAAAACGUCCAGAGAACAGAAGAGGGUAGGAAAAGGUAGAUCCCAUGGAAUGCCCAGACUACAUGGUCACUCUCACCCUGGAAUUAGGCUGUGAGUAGAGUCCAAGAAAGCAGGGAAGGCAGGACCAGGAAGUGGUGCUUUGGAGAGAAGCGGGAAGGAAGGAGCUGCCAUUUAGUGGUGGAGAAACCACUGGGUACGGAGGAAGGAGGUCUGGAUCUGGUCUUUGCUGGGCUGUGAGUAACAGUGUAAUUCUAAGCACUCACCUCCUGUCCUGCGGAAGGAGAGAGUUGGAUUGAGGGCGGCCAAGGGUCCUCUUGGCUGUGUUUCUCAGUUUGGGGACCUUGGGAAAUGAGAAAUGCUGGCCAUUUUGUUUACUGAGAGUUCUUAAUCUUUGGUGGUUGUGUACAGUUUAGCUGCCUAAUGAUUUCCAUGCUUCUCAGCUGCUUUAGCCUGAAUCAUCCUUAUCCCUUAGGAGGAAGGGAAGUCCAAGUCCAUGAUCUGAUUCUGUUUAGAAAGCAUAACCCUCGGGCCCAGGCUCAGGACUUGUGCUGCCCUAUUUAUCCCAGCUGGCAAGUCACAAGCUCUGGGUUAGGGAGAUACAUGAUCUUAAAUGUUAGCAGAGUCAGAUGUGCUCAAUGGAAACAGUCUGGCUAACUCACAACAGAUUCUCAGCCCUCCUGGCUGUUCUCCAGAAAUCAUGUCUGGUAGGAUUUCUGCAACAGAUCUGAUAGUUGCUGACUUGGAGAACUUGUAAGCUGUUUGUGAAUUCACAGUGAAUGGCCCUAAUUCCAGACACAAAUUCCCAUUGACAGUAAGAGACUGGAGAUGAACAGAAAAUGCAUUGAAAGCGUAUUUGUGAAGUAAAUGUGUGUGUGUUUAUGUGUGUGUGUGUGAUAGAGAGAGAGAAAGAGAGAGAGAAGGAAGGAGAGUGUGUGAUGAGAAAAUAAUUUAGGUUGGUAGAGGCUGGACAAUCUCUAAAUGGGAUAUUUUACAUAGAAAGCUGUGUUGUGAAGGAAGUUAGACUGGAAUGAUGAGUCCUAAUGAUUUUCCUAACACAAAACAUAACUUAAUCUCACAAGGCAUUCUUCCAAAACAUAGCAUGCUCUACUAAAAAGCCAGUGUGUAACUUUGAUAGUUGAGAGAAACAGGAUAGGCAGAUAUAAAACAUAGGAGGCUUGCUCAAACUUACCAGAAUUACUUUUUAUUCUUUUUACAGUCACACUGGGAGCAAAUGGAAGUUCCCAGGCUAGGGGUCAAAUUGGAGCUGCAGCUGAUGGCCUAUGCCACAGCCACAGCCACACUGGAUCUAAGCUGCAUCUAUGCCACAGCUCAAGGUGAUGCCGGGUCCUUAAUCCACUGAGUGAAGCCAGGGAUCAAACCUGCAUCCUCGUGGAUACUGAGUCAGGUUUUUAACCUGCUGAGCCAUACAACGGGAACUCCAGACUUACCAGAACUUCAAUAUUGGUUUUGGUUAUUGUGUGUUACAGAGUAUAAAGUAAAGUUAUUUUGGUAGAUGAUCAGAUUCCUUCCUAAGAACUUUUCCUUUUUGAAGCACUAAUGGCUUCUAGUGUUUUUCAGUUAUUCAAUACGUAUUUCUUGGAUCCUGACUCCAUCUCAGGUACCAUGCAUAUACUACUUUUUUUUUGUCUUUUUACGGCCACACCACUGGCAUAUGGAGGUUCCCAGGCUAGAGGUCUAAACAGAGCUAUAGCUGCUGGCCUACACCACAGCCAUAGCAUCACCAGAUCCGAGCAACAUCUGCAAUCUACACCACAGCUCAUGACAAUGCAGGAUCCUUAACCCACUGAGUGAGGCCAGGGAUCGAACCUGAAACCUCAUGGUUCCAAGUCAGAUUCGUUUCUGCUGUGCCACAACGGAACCUCUCCAUACACUACUUUCAUGUGUACGAGUAUGUGCACAUAUGUCAUUGGUCAGAUAGUCAUUGUGGGAUUAUGAAAAUAGAUAGGAGUUGACUAUUUUAAUAGCUUUUCAGGUUUGCUGUUUGUUUGCUAAACAAUGAUUCCAAAAGACAAAAGGAAAAAUAAUACUAUGCCUAAAAAUUGAUUGUGUGACUUAUCCAUUAGUCAGUUUUUUGCUGUUAGCUUCUGUCUGGAAACAGCUUCUCAGGAUGGGCAGAUGCAUGCAAAUAGUUGCGUAGACAAGUACGAAAUUGUUUCUUUGUAGACUAAACAGUGUUUGAAGAGACAUCUUAAGGCUUACUUACUGUGAAUCUAGAGAAAUGAAGCUGUGAGGGAUACUCUUAGAUGGGUGGUGUUGGCAAGCUAAUUUUGGAGAACUAGAACUUAACUAGGUUUAUUGGUAGAACAUCCCUUUCCAGUCUGUGUUAUUGAAGACUAUGUUAAGAGCCUUUAUGGAGUUCCCAUUGUGGCUCAGCAGUAACAAAACCGACUAGUAUCCAUGAGGACGCAGGUUUGAUCUCUGGUCUCACUCAGUGGAUUAAGGAUCUGGUGUUGCUGUGAGCGUGGUGUAGGUUGCAGAAGCAGUUUGGAUCCUGUGUUUCUGUGGCUGUGGUGUAGGCUGAUAGCUACAGCUCUGAUCUGACCCGUAGCCUGGGAACUUCCAUAUGCCACAUGUGCAGCCUAAAAAAACAAAAUAAAUAAAUAAAUAAGUAAAGUCUUUAGAAGUGUGUUAGCUCUUUCAGAUGGCAGAUUAGCAGUGAACACUUUUAUCUAGUACUAACUUAAUAACAUCUAAAUGGAAACAAUGGCCCAAAGGAGUUAAAAUAACUCCUCCUAUUGCUCAAUCAGCUGACCAAUUAUACAGACUGAUUACUCUGAAUCAGAAGAACAACGUCUGGUAAAUAAAGACAAGAACAACAAACCAGGAAUCAGAUCAUUUGGUUGAGUGUCUUAAUACUUGUUCUGGUUAUAUAGUGUUAUGUACCAAUCAUCACUAAGAUAAUUUAUUAUUUUCUCUCAUGGUUCUGUACAUUGUCAGGGCUAAGUUGGAUGCUUUGCCCUUGGGUUUCUCCCAUCUAAAGUCUUGACAGGCUGAUGCACUCAUGUGGCUGGUGUGAUGAUGGCCAUCAGCUAGGAGUUUAGCUUGGAUUGUGGACUGAAGCACCUGCAGGUGUUCUAGCGGCUUCUUCGUGUGUCUUGGGCUUCUCACAGCCAUGGUAGUUGGGCUCCUCAAAGAAGCAUCCCAACAGCUAGCAUUCCAAGUCUCCUUUUGAUCUUGCUUCUUACAUUCUAGGAUGUCACUUUUGAUGCAUUGUAUUGGUCAGAGGCAAGGGGAAGUUUAAGAAGAACACAUGGAAUGGACACUAUUGUUGUGGUCACCUGUGAAAGAUACAAUUUGUCAUUAUGCUUAUACUCAUUUUAUACAUGUGAUCACAUUGUCAUUUUUAAGACAUAUUUGGAAAAAGGAUGAUGGUAAAAAAGAUAUAACACAGUGAAAUAAAAGAAUGGUGGAGUGGGAGUUCCAGUUGUGGCUCAGUGGUUAACGAACCCAGCUAGAAUCCAUGAAGAUGCGGGUUUGAUCCCUGGCCUCGCUCAGUGGGUUAAGGAUCCUGCAUUGCCGUGAUCUGUGGUGUAAUUUGCAGAUGUGGCUCGGAUCCCACAUUGCUGUGGCUCUGGCAUAGGCUGGCAGUUACAGCUCUGAUUGGAGCCCUAGCCUGGGAACUGGCAGUUACAGCUCUGUUUGGAGCCCUAGCCUGGGAACUUCCAUAUGCUAUGGAUUUAGUCCUAAAAAAGACAAAGAGACAAAAAGACCAAAAAAAAAAAAAAAAGAAGAAAAAAAGAAAAAAAGAAUGGUGAAGUGCUCUGACAUCAUACUCACUUGGUUUUGAAUCAAGAUUUCACUCCCUUUAAAUCUGUGGGAUAUUGGUCAAAAGCAGCAACAUAAUUUGUGUUGUUCUGUGCAAAAUGAGCUAUUUCCCAAAACUUGAGAAUUUUAAGAUAGUAGCAUCAGAUCAUUAAAUCCAAGCAUGGGGUCCUUUUAAGUGCAGGUUACGUAUCUAUUAAGCACCCCUGGUCAUGGUACAUAAUACCUCUGAGCUUUGAUCACUUCUUUGAAUUGGGCUUGUGGCCUCUCAUGCUUGGGCCUGCCUGGGUCCUCUUACCAAGGGACAUCAAACCCACAUCUGCCUCACAUACCCAUCUGUCUUUGCCUCCCAUCAGAUUCUACUGAUCUGAUCUCCCUCCACUGCAGCAACACCUGAUCAUGUCCCCUCUGACUAGUGAGAACUUUUAAUUUCCAUCUAUACUGACCCAGUGGAUUCCUCUAGAGGCCUGUUAGAGGUUGGAUUGUGUUUCCCACAAAUUCACAUAUUUGAAUCCUAAUCCCUGGUGCAUUUUCAUGUGACCUUAUUUGGAGAAAAGUUCUUUGUAGAGAUCACCAAGUUAGAAUAAGGUCAUUAGAGUGGG
rnacentral:lncRNA from 1 species